UACGAAGGGGGCUAGCGUUGUUCGGAAUCACUGGGCGUAAAGGGCGCGUAGGCGGCCGAUCAAGUCGGGGGUGAAAGCCUGUGGCUCAACCACAGAAUUGCCUUCGAUACUGUUUGGCUUGAGUCCGGAAGAGGUUAGUGGAACUGCGAGUGUAGAGGUGAAAUUCGUAGAUAUUCGCAAGAACACCAGUGGCGAAGGCGGCUGACUGGUCCGGUUCUGACGCUGAGGCGCGAAAGCGUGGGGAGCAAACAGG
rnacentral:rRNA from 1 species